CCCUAGUUCGGAUUGUAGGCUGAAACUCGCCUACAUGAAGCUGGAAUUGCUAGUAAUCACAGGUCAGCAUACUGUGGUGAAUACGUUCCCGGGCCUUGUACACACCGCCCGUCACACCAUGAGAGUUGAGAAUACCCGAAGCCCAUGUCAAAGUGGUCGAAGGUAGGCUUGAUGAUUGGGGUGAAGUCGUAACAAGGUAUC
rnacentral:rRNA from 1 species